UCCCAUUAUAUAUACAGAGAGACCAAGUUGUUUGGAUAAACAUUGAGCUGUUGUGCAAUCUGCAAUGAAGAUGGUGAUGAUGUGGGUGUUACUAUUGCUGUCGUUGUUAGCAUUGAUUCCUCACUCUUCCGCCUGUUAUGCGGAUGAUAGAAAUUCCCUGUUGGAUUUCAAAGAGGGCCUUAACUUCACUUCCUCUCUUUCCACGCUUCAAUCAUGGAAAGGAUUUAACUGUUGCGCGUGGGAAGGAAUCACCUGCCAUCUGUUAGCUUUAAUUUCCAGUUACUUGCAUAGAUUAUGGAUCUUAAUCAAUUCCUUUGUUGCAUCCAUAAUAUGUGGAUCGAAAGCCGCUUCUUUUGUCAAUUACUAUUAACUUUAGUUUCCUUCAUUCAUAACAAUUUAACAUAUAAGUCUAACUCAAGUUUCUUUUAGUUACAUCCACAAAGUGUGGAUCUAAACACAGCAAGGUGUAUGCACAUUGUAUGCCUUUUAUUAUUGUUUUUGAGAAAAGAAAAAGUUAAUAACAGUUUCAGAUUAUUUUCUUUCAAUACUCUAUUUUUUUUGUUCAUGCUCUGUAUUUUCUGUGUUUUUUGCCUGCAAAGUUUGUCUUUUUUUUCUUUUUCCAGCAGAUCAAUACUGCUACAGCUGUAAAUUUCACAUGGUAUCAGAGCGCAGGUCAUCGGUUCGAGUCCCUCAAGCCCUAGACCUUUCACUUAAUAAGUUUGGCUUAUUGAUGUGGUAUGUAGUGGGUAUGAAUCCUACAUGGUACAUGGUUGUAUCCAGCUCUAUCGUGUGGGAGGGUGUUGGCGUAGCAAUUAUAUCGAUGAUGAGAUCCCUCUCCACCACAAGUACGUGCUUUUGGUGUGAUGGCAAAAAUCUACAUGGUAUCAGAGCCUAGGAGCUAGAACAAAAAAAGCAGCUUUCAAUCCACAUAUUAUGGAUGCAACAAAGGAACUCGUUAAGAUCCAUAAUCUAUGCAGGUAACUGGAAAUUAACGCUAACACCCCCCUUAAGUCUAACUAAAGAUAUAGAAGAGGAAAGAAAUAAGGAAAGACGGAAAACCCAGUGGGAAGAAACCCCCCCCUCAAAAUAGAUGCUGACUAAGCAUGAAGGUUACGGUAUUGUAGUCUCCUUCAACCCAAGAAGAUCUUGGAGGAAGUGGAACCUCUGCUCAGUGAAUGCCUUCGUGAAGAUGUCAGCAACUUGGUGAGAAGUGGGACAGUACUGCAAAUCUAUGACUCCAUCAUGGAUCAAACCUCGGAUGUAGUGCAUAUGAAUCUCAAUAUGAUGAGUACAUUGAAGUUUUGCAGAGAUCCAGUUCAACGUCAAUGCAUCAAACAUAUUGAGAUUCAUAUACACUACAUCCGAGGUUAGAUUCUCAUAAUAAUCUAUCAGAUAUGAUACCAGAAGGUGGACAAAUGACGGCAUUUGAUUCUUCAUCAUUCUCGAACAAUUUAGAUCUAUGUGGGGCCUACAAAUCAAUGUAUCAUGCUUCUCCCAAUGAUGAUGGAAACAAAAAAGUGUUGGAGGAUAUAUGGUGGGAUGUGGGAAUAGGAAUGGGCUAUGCAUUUGGGUUUUCAGUUCUUAUUUUGAUUUUGUGUUCCUACAAAUCUUGGAGAGCAAAAUGUUUCAGAGUAAUGGAUGGCACUAUCGACUAUCUCUGUCAAACAUUCAGAGAAAGAUUAAGUCAUGUUUUCUGAUCUUCAUCUGCUAUGCAGCUUUAUAAUCAACAUACUAUGUAUACCAACAGAGGAACAGUCAAUGUGAAUGAAUUGACAGGAAAAGAUAAAUUAUUCAAUUGUAGUUUUACAGUAACUAGAGGGUGAUGGAUAAUUUUCUCAUAUGCUUUGCGACUCUGGUCUUGGAUGUUUAUUAUCUGAUUCGUGGAGUAUUACACUUACACUAAAGGCUUUUAAACUUUUUAUUCAAAUUUCUCAAUAAGGAGAUUUUUAUUGGAGCUUUGGACAAUCAUGUACUUGUAUACAGCAGCCUGUUCAAAUACCUGCUCUUCCAGAAAAAGCUGGUACUCACCCUUUUGUUAUGCCCGUUGUAUCGAAUGAUAGAUACUCUUUGAGGCAGAGCUUGUUUGAAUUCUCUCUUUUAUUGCAGUGUUGUUUCACAAUAAAUUGUAUGGAUGUUAUUUGGCUUAUGACAGUUAAACUCCACAUAAAUGUUAAAACUGAUGGAGAGGACCAUAGCUUACGCUAAGGUCUUACGGAGGCGGCUUCCUAAAAAUAAAGUUGGAGUUGCUGAUAUUUUUUAAGAAUAUUUUAAAGUUGCCAGUCUCAUGAAUUUUGUAAUGCUGUUUAGCUUAAAAAUUUAAGCUCUUAAAUUUAAGGAAGCUUAGUCUCAUGAAUUCUGAUGUUGGUCUUUUGUACGAUGUGCAGUAUUUAUGGAAAUUUAAUUUACAUAAUUGUCAAGCGGCAAAUAAAAUUCUUAAGCUGGUGGAACAAUUUCUAGUCCCACCCCAAUUUUACCUGCUCAAAUAUACAGACCUAAAAAGUAGGAGCUAAGCCCCCACAAGACCUCAGCCUUAACAAACAAUUUCUGAGAAUGUGCACCUAUAGGUAUCGCCUUUUCAAAGGGCCAAGGCAGUUAUAAACGAUUCUUUAGUUCAAAGUUCUUCAUGAUCCUUUCCACUUCUUGACAUCUGAUUCUAGUUUAAGACAUUUGAUUGAUUUUUAUAUUUAAAAAAAAACCAUAUUUGGUUGUCUUUUAGAAUAGUUUCCUAUUUUCUUAACAAUGGAAAAUAUACAACUGCUAGAUUAAAGUCAAACAGCUCAAGGAAAUAAGGUAGUUUGUUUGCUAAUAUCAUGCUCUGCAGUUUGUUCAUUGAAAAUCCUAGUAUCUUUAAUUUGUUACUUGAAUUCCAGUACAAGUACUCUGUAUUUGUUGUACAUUGGAUAUGUUUUAAGCAUUUUUCCUUAUUUUUUAGGCAACAAUUUUAUGUAGCAGUUUUCCUGGAUGUCAAUUACACCCACAUUUCAGAAAAUUCUAUACCGUCUAGCACACUUUUAUGAAGCUUGGAAAGAGGAAAAUAUUAUAUAAUCUACAGAGGAAAAACAUUGCUGAAAAAUUAUAUAAGUUGUUUGCUCAAUAAUUGGAAGAAACGUGGCAGUCAACAGUGUCCUGUUCCAGACUCAACACCGUGUGGCUCAGAAAGUUGUCUUUGUUGAGAAAGGAGUUUCAUGGUAUUUCCAGAAUUGAUGGUAAUGAGAAUUCUCGCAACUUUAUCAUCAAGCCUCAAGAUGUACAAACGGUGGGAAUAUGUACUAUUUCAGGCUUUGAGAGUGCUACCCUGAAUUACAUGGUUAAUUUAUUGCUUGGCCAGUGAGAAAAAAUUAACGGCGGAAAGCAGUGCUGAUGGUAAGAUUGUUCAGAACAAGAGAGGAUGAACUAAGGAUAUUGGCUCCGUUGCCUAGGAUGACUUGCCAGGUCUAUUGAACUGCACAGAGCAUGUGAAAGGAAGAUACACAAGAUCAUUUCUCUCGCAGUACCAAUUCAGAAUUUAGGUGACGUUAUACAAUCUAUUUCUUGCAACACUAUAGUCCCAUUAGAGGCUUUGUUUCAUCAUCCUUAUAAGUGGAUACUUUCUUUUUUUUGCCUCC